rnacentral:rRNA from 1 species
GACGAACGCUGGCGGCGUGCUUAACACAUGCAAGUCGAACGGAAAGGCCCUGCUUUUGUGGGGUGCUCGAGUGGCGAACGGGUGAGUAACACGUGAGUAACCUGCCCUUGACUUUGGGAUAACUUCAGGAAACUGGGGCUAAUACCGGAUAGGAGCUCCUGCUGCAUGGUGGGGGUUGGAAAGUUUCGGCGGUUGGGGAUGGACUCGCGGCUUAUCAGCUUGUUGGUGGGGUAGUGGCUUACCAAGGCUUUGACGGGUAGCCGGCCUGAGAGGGUGACCGGCCACCUUGGGACUGAGAUACGGCCCAGACUCCUACGGGAGGCAGCAGUGGGGAAUAUUGCACAAUGGGCGGAAGCCUGAUGCAGCAACGCCGCGUGCGGGAUGACGGCCUUCGGGUUGUAAACCGCUUUCGCCUGUGACGAAGCGUGAGUGACGGUAAUGGGUAAAGAAGCACCGGCUAACUACGUG